ACGGCCUCAUCACGUUAAAACACCGGUUCACUUACGAUCACCGAAGAUAAGCAACAUCGGGCCUGACCAGUACCUAGAUGGUUGAUCGCGUGGGAAUAACAGAUAGUGUA